rnacentral:rRNA from 1 species
UACGGGGGGGGCAAGCGUUGUUCGGAAUUACUGGGCGUAAAGGGCUUGUAGGUGGCCAACUAAGUCAGACGUGAAAUCCCUCGGCUUAACCGGGGAACUGCGUCUGAUACUGGAUGGCUUGAGUGUGGGAGAGGGAUGCGGAAUUCCAGGUGUAGCGGUGAAAUGCGUAGAUAUCUGGAGGAACACCGGUGGCGAAGGCGGCAUCCUGGACCAUUACUGACGCUGAGGCGCGAAAGCGUGGGGAGCAAACAGG